AAAAAAAAGACGAUAAAAUUGGAUAUCGAAGCUUUCUUAUAUACUUUAACUCUUUAACGUU
rnacentral:sRNA from 1 species